rnacentral:misc_RNA from 1 species
UCCGUCUUGACGACGGCAGUCCCUCUGGAGUGCCCACCUUAAAUGAUGGCAACCAAAGGCAAGGGUUGCGCUCGUUGCGGGACUUAACCCAACAUUUCACAACACGAGCUGACGACAGCCAUGCAGCACCUGUCUCUUUGUCUCUUGCGAGCCUAUCUUAUCUCUAAAAUAUUCAAAGGAUGUCAAAUCCAGGUAAGGUUCUUCGCGUUGCUUCGAAUUAAACCACAUGAUCCACUGCUUGUGCGGGCCCCCGUCAAUUCCUUUGAGUUUUAGUCUUGCGACCGUACUCCCCAGGCGGGAUACUUAUUGUGUUAACGUCGACACGGCGGGGGUCAAGACCCACCACGUCUAGUAUCCAUCGUUUACAGCGUGGACUAC